CCCCUUGGGAGGGGGAAACCCCGGGAAACUGGGGAAAUACCCCAUAGACUAUGAAUGCUGGAAUGCUUUGUAGUUGAAAGGUCCGCCGCCAUAGGAUGGGUCUGCGGCCGAUUAGGUUGUUGUUGGGGUAACGGCCCAACAAGCCUGUAAUCGGUACGGGUUGUGGGAGCAAGAGCCCGGAGAUGGAUUCUGAGACACGAAUCCAGGCCCUACGGGGCGCAGCAGGCGCGAAAACUUUACGAUGCGGGAAACCGUGAUAAGGGAACUCCGAGUGCCCGUAAAAUCGGGCUGUCCAUCUGUUUAAAUAACAGGUGAAGAAAGGGCCGGGCAAGACCGGUGCCAGCCGCCGCGGUAAUACCGGCGGCUCGAGUGGUGGCCACUAUUACUGGGCUUAAAGCGUUCGUAGCUGGCCUGUUAAGUCUCUGGGGAAAUCUACUGGCUUAACCAAUAGGCGUCUCAGGGAUACUGGCAGACUAGGGACCGGGAGAGGUGAGAGGUACUCCAGGGGUAGGAGUGAAAUCCUGUAAUCCUUGGGGGACCACCUGUGGCGAAGACGUCUCACCGGAACGGCUCCGACAGUGAGGGACGAAAGCUGGGGGAGCAAACCGGAUUAGAUACCCGGGUAGUCCCAGCUGUAAACGAUGCGCGUUAGGUGUAUCGGUGACCACGAGUCAUCGAGGUGCCGAAGAGAAAUCGUGAAACGUGCCGCCUGGGAAGUACGGUCGCAAGGCUGAAACUUAAAGGAAUUGGCGGGGGAGCAC
rnacentral:rRNA from 1 species